rnacentral:rRNA from 1 species
GACGGGACCCGCACAAGCGGUGGAUGAUGUGGUUUAAUUCGAUGCAACGCGAAAACCUUACCCACCUUUGACAUGUACGGAAUCCUUAGAGAUAGAGGAGUGCUCGAAAGAGAGCCGUAACACAGGUGCUGCAUGGCUGUCGUCAGCUCGUGUCGUGAGAUGUUGGGUUAAGUCCCGCAACGAGCGCAACCCUUGUCAUUAGUUGCUACGAAGGGGCACUCUAAUGAGACUGCCGGUGACAAACCGGAGGAAGGUGGGGAUGACGUCAAGUCCUCAUGGCCCUUAUAGGUGGGGCUACACACGUCAUACAAUGGCUGGUACAAAGGGUUGCCAACCCGCGAGGGGGAGCCAAUCCCAUAAAGCCAGUCGUAGUCCGGAUCGCAGUCUGCAACUCGACUGCGUGAAGUCGGAAUCGCUAGUAAUCGUGGAUCAGCAUGUCACGGUGAAUACGUUCCCGGGUCUU